GAUGAACGCUGGCGGCGUGCCUAACACAUGCAAGUCGAACGAAGACAUACCGACGGAACUCUUCGGAGGGAAGAUGGUAUGGACUGAGUGGCGGACGGGUGAGUAACGCGUGGGUAACCUACCCUGUACAGGGGGACAACAGUUAGAAAUGACUGCUAAUACCGUAUAAGCGCACAGUACCGCAUGGUACAGUGUGAAAAAACUCCGGUGGUACAGGAUGGGCCCGCGUCUGAUUAGCUAGUUGGUGAGGUAACGGCUCACCAAGGCGACGAUCAGUAGCCGGCCUGAGAGGGUGAUCGGCCACAUUGGGACUGAGGCACGGCCCAA
rnacentral:rRNA from 1 species